AAGAGGGGAUAUCAUUUCGAGGCCCAGCUGAGAAGGAUCCCAAUGCUAAAAAUUUACACACUUCAAAGAGCAGAAAGGUGGAAGCGAGUGUUGCUUGGACACAAGGAUGCCACUGUCUUAUCUCCUCCAAUUUGGGAAGUGCCCAGCCUAGAAAGCUAGUCUCCUAUGGCUCCCUGGUGCUGGGUUUCUGGCCUUUGGUGACAUCCCAACAGAAGGGUCCAGAAGCAGGGACCCCAGACACCUUGCUCCCUCUCCCAAAUCACACCCAAAACAUACUGGGGUGAAACAACUGACAGAGGCUCUCUGUGGCGAACAACUGACCAAAGUCACCAGUGGAAAAGUUCCUGAUAAUUAUUUCCGCAAGGACCCUGAAUUCCCUGGUCACCAUGGCAACCUGGAAGUCCCACCAAAUGCUUUCAACAAUGGGGUACCCGGAGGACAUUCGCUCAAUUGACUGCACAGUCUGAGGCCUGAAAAGCAUUUCUGCCCUUCAUUCUUGACUUUCUGGAGCCUCCUUAGUGGUUCAACAGAGCAGAGAUUUUUUAAACUGUCCCCUUUUUUAAACAGGAGAGAAAAUUGAGGUUUAGUACCAGGUGGGUUCAGGUCUUGAGCAAAAUCCCCGUCUUUGAAUUCAGAAUGCUUACCCCAGAGCCGAUCAUGUAGAGCCUAUGAUGUAUCUUAAUCGAAACCCGUGGCCCAAACAUCUCAGCCAGGAACCUGGGACUUUAGGUGUCACUUAAUCUCUUCACAUCUGUUAACUACACCUAUCUGCAUAGGAGGCUCCCCACAUCAGUCCAGGCAACCUUUUUAUUUGCCUGGGGCCAUUUCUCCUAAAUGGAAGGAGAAAAGCCUGAGCAUUAGAAAUUGUGGCAUUAAUGUCUGUAAGGGCUAAUGGAGUGAAAAGAAUACAUUAUUCUCCUUUUCUUUUUAGAAAAAAAUUUCAAUUGUGGAUGCAAUUGAAAUAACAUUAAAAUAAUAUUUCUGAUUGCA